rnacentral:lncRNA from 1 species
GUUAAUUUAGGCAGUGUGUGAUUGAAUAAUUAUAAUGGUAUAAUUUUCUUUCAUUAGGAGAAAAUGUAUACUCUGUAACUUUGUACCUAGCAACCCAACAAAUCUAAUACCAUUAAAGAUCCUUUCUUUUUUCUGCACAUGAUUUCCCAGGCAGAGAAUCCAUUUUUAAGAUGCAGAUCUUCUUGGCUUCAAAUCUUUGGGUGAUCUCUCCUUUCCUUUAUACUUUCUAUUCUAGCACUUAGAAUGGUAAGAUGAUUAGUCCUGUAAUAAUGACAUCUAAAUUCUAAGAGACAGUCCAGUUCAGUGGAAAGAGCUGUAUUUGGAGUCAAUGGACCUACUUAGGUUUUGGUCUUCUGCUUACUACCAUGUGGUCCUGGGCUAUCAUUGGACCUCUUUGGGCUUUAGUUUCUUCUUCUGUAAAAUAGGGGGUUGGACUGGGUAAACUUGAAGGUUCUUUCUGGCUUUGAAUAUAUGAGCCUAUAGUCUUGGCUCUGACAGUAACUUUGAGUGUCUCUUCCCUGACACCAUCAAUUUCCUCAUCUAUAAUAGGUGAUAAUUGGACAACAGGAUUGCUAAAGUCCCUUCCGGCACUAACAUUCCACGAGUCUAUGAUUCUAUGCAGUAGACAUCCAGCAUACAUGGGGGCUAAUGAUAGGAAUGAAAAUCAAGGAAAAUGUUCACGUUUUACAAUGGUGGUGCUGAAAAGAGAGUCCAGGAAUCAUCAAGUUAUUUCUGCUAAAGUCCUGUCUUCCUUAACUGACUUGCCAGGGAGAUAG